GUCAACAAGGUGAGGUCUGGUUACACCUCUAAAUAACAUGAGUUCCAGAUAGAAUAGCAUCAGAGACUAUGGAGAACUCUCUAGGAGGGUAGGUCAACAAGGUGAGGUCUGGUUACACCUCUAAAUAACAUGAGAGUUCCAGAUGGAAUAGCAUCAGAGACUAUGGAGAACUCUCUAGGAGGGCAGGUCAACAAGGUGAGGUCUGGUUACACCUCUAAAUAACAUGAGAGUUCCAGAUGGAAUAGCAUCAGAGACUAUGGAGAACUCUCUAGGAGGGCAGUUCAACAAGGUGAGGUCUGGUUACACCUCUAAAUAACAUGAGAGUUCAGAUGGAAUAGCAUCAGAGGCUAUGGAGAACUCUCUAGGAGGGUAGGUCUAGAAGGUGAGGUCUGGUUACACCUCUAAAUAACAUGAGAGUUCCAGAUGGAAUAGCAUCAGAGACUAUGGAGAACUCUCUAGGAGGGUAGGUCAACAAGGUGAGGUCUGGUUACACCUCUAAAUAACAUGAGAGUUCCAGAUGGAAUAGCAUCAGAGACUAUGGAGAACUCUCUAGGAGGGCAGGUCAACAAGGUGAGGUCUGGUUACACCUCUAAAUAACAUGAGAGUUCCAGAUGGAAUAGCAUCAGAGACUAUGGAGAACUCUCUAGGAGGGCAGGUCAACAAGGUGAGGUCUGGUUACACCUCUAAAUAACAUGAGAGUUCCAGAUGGAAUAGCAUCAGAGACUAUGGAGAACUCUCUAGGAGGGUAGGUCAACAAGUUGAGGUCUGGUUACACCUCUAAAUAACAUGAGAGUUCAGAUGGAAUAGCAUCAGAGACUAUGGAGAACUCUCUAGGAGGGCAGGUCAACAAGGUGAGGUCUGGUUACACCUCUAAAUAACAUGAGAGUUCCAGAUGGAAUAGCAUCAGAGACUAUGGAGAACUCUCUAGGAGGGCAGGUCAACAAGGUGAGGUCUGGUUACACCUCUAAAUAACAUGAGUUCCAGAUGGAAUAGCAUCAAAAACUAUGGCCAACUCUCUAGGUGUUACAGGGAUAUUGUAACAAGAUAAAAAUUCCUCAUAAUUGAGUAACAAUCCUUCUACAUUAAACAGUUGACUCACCAGCAGGAUAU